rnacentral:lncRNA from 1 species
AAAUAUCUUGCUUAUACAUCUGAAAGCUAAGAAAUUUAAGAAAACUUUCAAAAUAUUUUUAUAGUCACCUGUGCAGUCCAGUAAUGUAGUGCAGAUACUUGUAGCCUGAGAACAUAUAUAUUACAUUUGAUGUCAGUGAGGACGUGAAUGUUUUCAGCUACCAGUAAGGAAUUUCCUUGGUGUUUCACAAAUAGAAUCAAUUGCUUGGAAAGUUUUCAACGAUGCAGAAGUGCUCCUAUGUCUGCUUCCUUUCUGUUUUUCCGCUACAGUUUGUUGGGAGGAAAGAGCAAAGAGAAAUAGAAGCACCAUCAUCUGCAUGAUCUGCAUGUCUAUUCCUUUAAGAGUAGCAAGAAAAAAAAUAGGAAAGUAUCAGCUAUAUAAUUCAUAUAAACUUUGAUUCUGUUUCAGCUUAAAUUUUAGCUACAUCUAUAUUUAAACCAUAGCAAAAAUAAGGUCAGCCUUUGAAUACUGUAAAUGUAAAUCAGACUGGCAGAAGCUGGACUACAGUAAAUUAAAGAGCAGCUACAUGGAAUAUUGAAUAGAUUUUGAUCCUGAUAUAAAAUAGAUAUUUUAUUUAUGAAAUGUAUUAACUUAUUAAGAACUCACUUAUGAGCCUGGAUGCAAGGCUAAAUGAAAAGCCUGAGUUUAUCUGCAUCAGUAGGUGAGGUAAAACUGCAUGGAUGGAUGGAUAAGCAGACAGAUAGGUAGAGAUGCAGAAAAAUUAUUAUUUUUUGUUCUACUCAGUACUUCUACCUGAGAAGUUAAUAGAUAAAAAAAGGCAGGGUCAAUGUCUAGUGACUAUUCAAUUUUCAGUUGGUUGAACUUGUGACUAGCUUUAGCAGUACAGAAUGCCAGUGAUACCUCCCUCUUUUCCACCAGAAAUCAUUCCCUUUACUCCAGGCCAUUUGGUACAGAUAAUUUCAUACCCUCAUGUGGAGGUGUCCUCAUAUAGCCACAUGCCCUGGAGGAUGAAGGAUUCUUUGCCCAGAACACCCUUUGUUUGCUCUGUGUUGGAAACCAUGGGUUCUAGUUCCAUGACUGGAACUAGGAAUUACACAAAUUUAAGGAAGCAGAAGCUUGGAGUUCCAUACGGCAUAAUUUACUUAUCUCCAUGGAAGUGGAUGAAUACCUGCCUGCCAAUGGGAAGUAGCAAAUAAAUUUCUGUUUUUGCCUUGCUCGUGCAUGCAUCUUUUUCUUUCACUAGUAAUCUGUUUUUACUUCAUCCCAUGAGUUUACACACUUUCACCUUUCCAGUUCUCACCUACCUCUCACCUGGGACACAAAGACAAAUGUCUUUGUGGUGCUCAGCUGUCCACUGGGAUGAAACAACAACAGAUAGGGAAAGAAUUGGUAAUUCAAUGAUUAAAGUUGCUUUCUAGGUUGAAGAAAACAGUAAUUCAAAUUUUUACCUCAAUGUAUUUAUAAUUACUGACACAAGUGAGCUCAUCCUAAAAUAAUCAAUAAAAAAUGGCUAGAAAAUCCUUGACCUGGA